rnacentral:tRNA from 1 species
GCCCAGGUGGCGGAAUUGGUAGACGCGCUGCGUUCAGGUCGCAGUGGCCGCAAGGCCGUGGAAGUUCGAGUCUUCUCCUGGGCACCA